AUAUAAACUAAAUAAUAAAAAAAAAUAUAAACUAAGUAAUAUAAACUUUCCUAUAAGUAGGAAACAGUUUUCUGCCAGGCCUUUGUAGAAGGGACAGGGAUUCAGAGAUUUUCAUAGAAUCAUAGAAUCGUUAAGGUUGGAAAAGACCUCCAAGAUCAUCUGGUCCAAUCAUCCUCCUAUGACCAAUAUUACCCACUAAACCAUGUCCCUAAGCACCA